rnacentral:rRNA from 1 species
GUAACAAGGUUUCCGUAGGUGAACCUGCGGAAGGAUCAUUACCGAGUUGAUUCGAGCUCCGGCUCGACUCUCCCACCCCAUGUGUACCUACCUCUGUUGCUUUGGCGGGCCGCGGUCCUCCGCACCGACCCCCGUUCGGGGGGCCGGCCAGCGCCCGCCAGAGGACCACAAAACUCCAGUCAGUAAACGUCGCAGUCUGAGAAACAAGUUAAUAAACUAAAACUUUCAACAACGGAUCUCUUGGUUCUGGCAUCGAUGAAGAACGCAGCGAAAUGCGAUAAGUAAUGUGAAUUGCAGAAUUCAGUGAAUCAUCGAAUCUUUGAACGCACAUUGCGCCCCUUGGUAUUCCGAGGGGCAUGCCUGUUCGAGCGUCAUUUCAACCCUCAAGCUCUGCUUGGUAUUGGGCUCCGUCCUCUGUGGACGCGCCUCGAAGACCUCGGCGGUGGCGUCUUGCCUCAAGCGUAGUAGAAAACACCUCGCUUUGGAGCGCACGGCGUCGCCCGCCGGACGAACCUUUGAAUUUUUCUCAAGGUUGACCUCGGAUCAGGUAGGGAUACCCGCUGAACUUAAGCAUAUCAAUAG